GUGUCAGUUCUGUACAUAGAGCUUUCCUGACCAGCAUAUCUCAGUGUCAGUUCUGUACAUAGAGCUUGCCUGACCAGCAUAUAUCAGUGUCAGUUCUGUGUACCAUAUCGUAGAGUUUUCCUGACCACCAUAUCUCAGUGUCAGUUCUGGAUGCAGAUCAUUACAGCAUGUUAAACAGUAUGUCUUGUUACCGAGUGCUCAAUGAGAUACCUGCUCAGCUGUCAAUAUUUAUGUGCUUUUGCAGAGACUGCAGAAUAUAUCAACAUCACAUUAUCAUACAUUUUGCAGGUUUGUCUGUAGGUUGGCUAAUACUUCAGUAGGGAUUUCCAUGAUAUUUGCCGUCUGUUAUUGUCAAAAUGCACGUAUUGCCCUUCGUUUUGUCCCCAUUUCUAUAUUGCAGCAAAACAGAACAUUAUGUAAACUGAACAUCAUAACUGACACUUUGUGGGUACAGUGUUAUACAUAUUGUAUGUUUCAUGAGUUUUAUAGAGAAUUCACUAUGUUAAAGAAAGGGACAGUUGACACGAGUAUGGUUUGAAUGUCAGAAUUACUUUCUACUUGAUAGCCUGUGAGGGAAAGAUGGUUUCAUAUGACCGAUACAGUGAAAAAAUAAUUCUGAAAAUGUUGCUUUCAAUCACUGUGUUCAUGUACGAUGAGUAGAAUGUUAAAUAUGACAAACUGUAUAUCAUGUUUUCUGUGACAUGUCGCUUUUACACAUUGUAUGUAAGUUUGUUUCUUGACAUCUGCAUUUUAUAACUUACCUCACUGAAAUUCGAUUGACCUUCACCUUGUCCACGGCCUGCUUGCCAGGCUUGUAGUGUUGUAUGCUUAGUCUGCUGAGAAAGACCAAUAACAACAGGCUUUUGUCUAAUAAAAACUUCACUUUUUAGUUUCAUUACUUGACAAAAUCAUAACAUAUGACUUGAUUAAAAAUGAUCUGAUAAACCUUUCUCUUGUACACCUGACAAUAUGAAUAUGUUUGAUACCAAAUUCAGUUCAUGUGAAGGGUUACAUUCACUUUGACAGAAUUUGAACAUUGUUGUGCGGCCAGUAUUAAGAUUUACAGCAGUCAUAGUGGGAUAACAACUGGUACUCCCAUACGCUUACAAAGACUCGGAUAAUCAUAGCACUAUGAUGAUAAUAAACUGACAAACUUUUCAUGUCAACAGUGCUACAACCAUCAUAAGUUUACCAUCGUAAUUCAAUACUGUUACAUGGAUGGAGGUAGUUCUACGACCAUCGUAAGUCAAUACUAUUACAUGGAUGGAGGUAGUUCUACGACCAUCAUAAGUCAAUACUGUUACAUGGAUGGAGGUAGUGCUAAGACCAUCGUAAGUCAAUACUGUUACAUGGAUGGAGGUAGUGCUACGACCAUCGUAAGUCAAUACUGUUACAUGGAUGGAGGUAGUGCUACGACCAUCGUAAGUCCAUAGUUACAUGGAUGGAGGUAGUGCUACGACCAUCGUAAGUCAAUACUGUUACAUGGAUGGAGGUAGUGCUACGACCAUCGUAAGUCCAUAGUUACAUGGAUGGUGCUAUGACAGCUGUUUGGUGGGUACUGGUUAUGCAUUUCAGUUAGAACUGGUCUCCGCACCCUAUUUGAUGAGGUAACAUUGAGGGGGUCAGACAGUGUAGUGUUGGAUGAUGGCCAGUUAUUGUGUCCUCAUGGGAUCAGUGCUUACCACAUCAUGUCUGAUCCUGACUCAAUAUAUACAGGCCAGCAGCAUACAGCAGGAAUAUUGCUGAGGCCAGUGUUAUGUAAGAAACAUCUUUGAUCUGUCUGGGAUUUGGCAACUCCCAGACAGAUUGCAUCAUGAUUACAAGAUGGUCACAAAACAAUAAAAUAUGUGAAGAAAC